AAGAACUUAGAUUCUGGAGCUUGGCAUCUGAAGGUACUACCACUGAUGGUGGGAACAUUAAUUUUUGGGACGGUCAAGCGGCAAAAAUUAGAUGAACAGUUACUUCAAAGACUUUUAAGAUUAGAGAUUACAAAAAUUGAGGGGAAUUAUUUGUAAACAAUUAUUGAGUUUAAAAUCAAAGUUUUACUUGACUGGAAGCCAGUGUAAUUAACAAACACAGGACCCUGCGUGAGAAACACAGCUUUGAACAAACUCGUGUUUACAGAGGUUCAAGACGCAGCAGGAAUGCAUUGGACUAUCCAAAUCUAGAGGAUGAACAUAUCAUGCAUCCCAGACAAACACAUCUGCAGGAAGUGUCACUGGUUGCACAAGAUUGAACCUUUGGGUCAAGUGUGCCUGCUAAACAGCAUUUUGUUUUGAAAACUGAUGAGGGCAAUGGUUCCUCAGAGGACUGCAGCUGUACAGCGGAGGAGGUACAAGAAUGAAAAAACAAUAGUUCUAGGGGAUUCCAUAUUUAAGAUUUGUUCCAGGCUGUAGCAGGUGACAUCAGGAACGCAUUGUUGUAUCUUGACAGUAAACAAGGCUCUCUACACCAGGAAGGAUAUUUAUCUCACAUUUAAUGGACUAAGCAAAGUGAGAAGAGAGAGAAUUAGCCUUUGCUCUCAUUUACCAGCUUCUCCAAGAGUUCAACCACGUUGUUUUUUUUCGUGCUGUACAUCAUCAA